AAUUUUAUUUCAGUUUUUUUUUUCCCCCAUGAAGAUGAAUUUCAAAGAUAACUUUAGUUAACGAUAACAACACUGGUCCAAACAUAUGUCGGAUGAAAGUCGUCUGUUUUCCGCUCCGUUAUUGUUACAUAUGAAUGCGUCGUUUGUUGUGUUUCAGGUUUAUGAACACCCGAGCAGCUGUGAACCGCCGUUACCAGCCCACAUGUUACGAGCACGCGGCCAACUGCUACACCCAUGCCCUGCUGAUUGUGCCGGCGUUCGUGGGAAUGGCUCUCUUACACCGGCUGUCUGAUGACCGCUGGGAGCGGAUCACGGCCUGGGUGUACGGCAUGGGUCUGAUCGCUCUGUUCCUCGUCUCCACAGUCUUUCACAUAAUUUCCUGGAAAAAGAGCCACAUGAGGACCAUGGAGCACUGCUUCCACAUGUGUGAUAGAGUCGCCAUAUACUUCUUUAUCGCUGCCUCUUAUACACCAUGGCUCAAUCUCCGGGAGCUCGGGCCGCUCGCCGCUCACAUGCGCUGGUUUGUGUGGCUGAUGGCGGCCGCCGGGACCAUCUAUGUGUUCAACUACCACGAGAAGUAUAAGUUAGUGGAGCUGGCGUUCUACCUGACCAUGGGCUUCUUUCCUGCGCUGGUGGUGACAUCAAUGAGUAACACAGACGGGCUGUAUGAGCUGGCGUUCGGAGGCUUGGUCUACUGCCUGGGUGUCGUCUUCUUCAAAUCAGACGGUGUGAUUCCGUUCGCUCACGCCAUCUGGCACGUGUUCGUGGCUCUUGCUGCCGCCAUCCACUACUACGCCAUCUGGAAGUACCUGUACCGCAGUCCCCCGCUGGAGGACAUCAGGGAUGCUUGAGCUCCUCUCCCUCAUCAUUUCCUCCUCCAUCACCAAAACAUCACAACCGGAUGUUCCAAACACCAACAUUUACCAAUAUCGACAGUGCAAUAUGGGCAAACGAAACGUUUACGAACCAAUGUUCUUUUUCUGGCACGAUAUCUCCCAUCAUGCACACCACACUACCUGACAGCACCAGGAUCAUCUUUUAUCAUUCCGAGGACCUUCACUGGUUUCUGUCGCGUUUCUGCAGGAGACACUGUGACACUGUGAAUGCGUUCGGCUUUGAUCGCAGUUUGACUUUGCAGUUCUGGUGAAGCACUGAUCGGAUGGGAUUCGGGAAACGUUGUGAUCCGAUAUGCAGCUGCUCGCAUAUUUAAGUGUUUUCGCACAAAGCCUGAAGCUCUUGUUUUGUAAUAUUUUCACUGUGGUCUGUAAACAUGCAUAUUCUUCUUCUCAUGUCGUGUCGGAAUAUCCAGAAUUACUUUUUCAUCCUGUAAUUACAGACUUUAAAACGAACGUUUAUGCAAGCGCUGAUACAAGUAAAAGCAGGUUUUCUACACGUUUCUUCUUCAUAUGCUAUUAGAUUUUUUUGCAGGUUAAUUAUUAAAUGUCCUGUUUUUGUAAUUCCGUCAUGCAGAGUUUCGUUAUGAUUUGGGGAUGUCUGAUGAGAUGUGUUAGGACAUUUUGACCACCUCUGGGACAGACUUUUGUAAAAAUCUUUCUUCAUCCUGUUUUGGCACAUAAUUCUGCACUGGCCUUCUCAAAUCUAACUCCAAAACUUCUUCAUUCUCAUCACACAUCAUUCUAGUGUUUUGGUGCUGGUGUUACUAUAAAGACUACAUGUGUCCAAUACUGAACAAGUCUCUAAAGUGUUAAUAAACACGAGCAGUAACUCUC